CAGUCCGCACUCCACAGACCACAGGCCACACCGGCAACACCGCACUCCACAGUCUCCAUUGUCAGCUUGUAAGUUGUAAUUGUAAUAAAUAGAGCCCUUUUUCAAUUACUGAAUUUUACAAUUUUUGCUUGGUUUACUUGGUUCUGCAUUUUGGGUGAAAAACAGCAAGACUUAAAUACUUAAUGACCAAAUCACCCACAAUAGAAAAUUAACGGAGGAUUGAUUUGGAGGAAUUUAUAAGUUGAAGGAUUUAUAUAGAAUUAUCUAAAAGUUAGAGGACUGGUUAGGAGGUAUAUAAGAGUAGGAGGAUUGAUUGUAUUAGUAUAAGAAAGUUAGAGGACGAAUAUGAAGUUGUUGUAAGUUCAAGAACUGGUUUUAUAAUACCUGAAAGUUGGAGGAUGAAUAUAGAGGAAACUAAAAGCUGGAGGACUAGUAUGCAUAUAUCUUAAAGUUUGAGAACUUAUUUGUAGGUAUAAUAAAGUGAAAGGACUAAUUUAUUGGCAUUUGAAAGUUGGAGCUGCUUUGGUGGUAUCUGAAGUUUGGUGCCUAUUUGGUGUUAUCUAAAGGUAAGAGGGUUGAUAUAGAAUUAUCUGAACAAUAGAGGAUUGACUUAGUAGUACCUUGAAGAUAAAGGACUUAAUUUUUGGUGCAAAAAGUCCAAGGAUGAAUUUGGAGGUAUUAGAAAGAUGGUGGACGGACAGGGAAGUAUCUUUAAUUUGAAGGACUAGUUUUGUAGGCUUAUGAAAGUUGGAGGAUGGACUUGGACUAAUUAUGAAAGUUGGUGCAAAAAAUAAAUUUUUACAAUAUGAUUUCUAGGAAAUUUAAAACAUAUCAGGUAGAAAUGGAAGCAAACAAUUAUUUUUUAAUUAUGCACAACAUGCUUCCUAGUAAUUUAUUUUCCUCACAAGAAGUUGAACCUUUCAACAUCAUCUAAGGGGGAAAGUGAAUUCUUAUAUUUGCCAUCGACACCUUGUUUUGCUAGUUGAUUAGAAAGUUUAACAACCUAAGCUCAUUACACCCCUAUAACAUACCAUUCCCAUUGUUACUGAAAUAAACAUUUAUUAAAAGAGCUAAUUGAACAAAAAGAUGCUCCCAUAUUAACGAAUCAGCAGCAUUUGGCAUCUCCAAUUACAUAUUUAAGAAGACUCACUCGUCUUGCUAUACUAGACUAGUGAGGUAGACCAUGAAUUACAGUAUUGAAAUGUUAUUAACAAAUCCAAUGAUAUAAAUAACUUUCCCUUAAACAGUCAAACCUUGAUAUAAUUGGACAGAAUUAAAUUUCAUCUCCGAAACUAUUCAUCUUGAAAUUAAAAUUACACACUAUAACAUCCAUGUUUUAACUAUGAUCUAGUAACAUCCAUGUUUUAACUAAAUUGAAGUUUUAU
rnacentral:lncRNA from 1 species